GUAAUAAAAAAUACAUUUGCUUUCCGGAGAUUAGCACCGGAAUAUGAGGGGAAACAGGUUAGAAUCCUGUGCGGUCCCGCCACUGUGAGUUGCAAUUUAAGCAACGAGCCAGGCUACCUCGGCAAAUCGGAUUAGAGCGA
rnacentral:ncRNA from 2 species